rnacentral:rRNA from 1 species
GACGAAGGGGGCUAGCGUUGUUCGGAAUUACUGGGCGUAAAGCGCGUGUAGGCGGUUGCCCAAGUCGGGUGUGAAAGCCUUGAGCUCAACUCAAGAAAUGCACUCGGUACUGGGUGACUAGAGGACCGGAGAGGAUAGUGGAAUUCCCAGUGUAGUGGUGAAAUACGUAGAUAUUAGGAAGAACACCGGUGGCGAAGGCGGCCCACUGGCUCGAUACUGACGCUGAGGUGCGAAAGCGUGGGGAGCAAACAGG